GACGAACGCUAGCGGCAGGCCUAAUACAUGCAAGUCGAACGGUGUCUUCGGACAUAGUGGCGCACGGGUGCGUAACACGUAUGCAACCUACCUUACAUUGGGGGAUAGCCUUUCGAAAGGGAGAUUAAUACCGCAUAAGACAGUAGCUGGGCAUCCAGCAGCUGUUAAAGAUUUAUCGAUGUAAGCUGGGCAUGCGUCCAAUUAGCUAGUUGGUGAGGUAAUGGCUCACCAAGGCAAUGAUUGGUAGGGGAACUGAGAGGUCAAUCCCCCACACUGGCACUGAGAUACGGGCCAGACUCCUACGGGAGGCAGCGGUAGGGAAUAUUGGGCAAUGGACGCAAGUCUGACCCAGCCAUGCCGCGUGCAGGAUGAAGGCGUUAUGCGUUGUAAACUGCUUUUAUACAGGAAGAAACGACUCUUGCGAGAGGCAUUGACGGUACUGUAUGAAUAAGCACCGGCUAACUCCGUGCCAGCAGCCGCCGUAAGAC
rnacentral:rRNA from 1 species